CCAAAUUGACACCGUAACUUCGGGAGAGGGUGUGCCGCUGGUGGUUAGUGACUUCGCGUCACGAAGCUGUCGGUGGUCGCAGUGAAAUGGCGGUUGUGACUGUUUACUAAAAACACAGGACUCUGCGAAGUCGUAAGACGACGUAUAGGGUCUGAUGCCUGCCCGGUGCUGGAAGGUUAAGGGGAUAUGUCAGCGCAAGCGAAGCAUUGAACCGAAGCCCCAGUAAACGGCGGCCGUAACUAUAACGGUCCUAAGGUAGCGAAAUUCCUUGUCGGGUAAGUUCCGACCUGCACGAGGGCAUAACAACAUCCGCACUGUCUCGACCAGGGACUCAGCGAAAUUACAAUGGGGGUGAAGAUGCCCUCUACCCGCGGAAAGACGGAAAGACCCCAUGAACCUUUACUGCAACUUGGCAGUGAUUUUCGGGUUGUUCUGCGUAGGAUAGGUGGGAGGCUUUGAAGCCGGGCUUCCGGGUUCGGCAGAGCCAACGUUGAAAUACCACCCUGAAUAAUCUGGAAAUCUAACCUGCGCCCAUGAUCUGGGCGAGGGACACUGCCUGGUGGGCAGUUUGACUGGGGCGGUCGCCUCCUAAAUUGUAACGGAGGCGUGCGACGGUUCCCUCAGGCUGAUUGGAAACCAGCCGUAGAGUGCAAACGCAUAAGGGAGCUUUACUGCGAGACUGACAAGUCGAACAGUUGCGAAAGCAGGUGUUAGUGAUCCGGUGGUACCACAUGGAAGGGCCAUCGCUCAUCGGAUAAAAGGUACUCUGGGGAUAACAGGCUGAUCGCGCCUGAGAGUUCACAUCGGCGGCGCGGUUUGGCACCUCGAUGUCGGCUCAUCGCAUCCUGGGGCUGGAGCAGGUCCCAAGGGUUUGGCUGUUCGCCAAUUAAAGCGGUACGCGAGCUGGGUUUAAAACGUCGUGAGACAGUUUGGUCCCUAUCUUCCGUGGGCGCAGGACACUUGAGAGGAGCUAUCCAUAGUACGAGAGGACCUGGAUGGACGAACCUCUGGUGCUCCGGUUGUCACGCCAGUGGCAUAGCCGGGUAGCCAUGUUCGGAACAGAUAACCGCUGAAGGCAUAUAAGCGGGAAGCUGGCCUCAAGACUAGGUGUCCCUGACGCAAGUCACUAAAGGCCCCUCAAAGACUACGAGGUUGAUAGGCUCGGUGUGGAAGCGCUGCGAGGCGUGGAGCUAACGAGUACUAAUAGGCCGUGCGACUUGACCUC
rnacentral:rRNA from 1 species